GACAGAGGGUGCAAACGUUGUCCGGAAUCACUGGGCGUAAAGGGCGCGUAGGCGGCUCAUGAAGGCUGUGGUGAAAGUCCGGGGCUCAACUCCGGGUCGGCCGUGCGAACUGGGGGACUGGAGCUUGUCAGAGGCAGGCGGAAUUCCGGGUGUAGCGGUGGAAUGCGUAGAGAUCCGGAAGAACACCGGUGGCGAAGGCGGCCUGCUGGGACAGUGCUGACGCUGAGGCGCGACAGCGUGGGGAGCAAACAGG
rnacentral:rRNA from 1 species